rnacentral:tRNA from 1 species
UGACCUGUAGCUCAGUUGGAUUCAGAGCGCCGCGCUACGAACGCGGAGGGCGGGGGUUCGAGUCCCUCCAGGUCGGCCA